rnacentral:rRNA from 1 species
GACGAACGCUGGCGGCGUGCUUAACACAUGCAAGUCGAACGGAAAGGCCCUGCUUUUGUGGGGUGCUCGAGUGGCGAACGGGUGAGUAACACGUGAGUAACCUGCCCUUGACUUUGGGAUAACUUCAGGAAACUGGGGCUAAUACCGGAUAGGAGCUCCUGCUGCAUGGUGGGGGUUGGAAAGUUUCGGCGGUUGGGGAUGGAUGGGCGGCUGAUCAGCUUGUUGGUGGGGUAGUGGCUUACCAAGGCUUUGACGGGUAGCCGGCCUGGGAGGGUGACCGGCGUCAUUGGGACUGAGAGACGGCCCAGACUGCUACGUGAGGCAGCAGUGGGGAAUAUGACACAGUGGGCGGGAGCCGGAUACAGCGACGCCGCGUGCGUGAUGACGGCCUUCGGGUUAUGAACCGCUGUCGCCUGUGACGAAGCGGGAGUGACGGUAAUGGGUAAAGAAGCACCGGCUAACUACGUG